UGUCUCACAGGUGUCCCACCAGAAGCUUCA
rnacentral:piRNA from 1 species